GAUUAACGCUGGCGGCGUGCAUAACACAUGCAAGUCGAACGAUGAAACUUAGUAGACUUCUUCGGAAAGACACUAAGCGGAUUAGUGGCGAACGGGUGAGUAACGCGUGAGUAACCUGCCUUACACAAGGGGAUAGCCUUUGGAAACGAAGAAUAAUACCCUAUAAAACUAUAAAAGCACAUGCUAUAAUGGUCAAAGUGAUAGCGGUGUAAGAUGGACUUGCGUCUGAUUAGCUAGUUGGUGAGAUAAAAGCUCACCAAGGCAACGAUCAGUAGCCGGCUUGAGAGGGUGUACGGCCACAUUGGGACUGAGACACGGCCCAGACUCCUACGGGAGGCAGCAGUGGGGAAUUUUGCACAAUGGGGGAAACCCUGAUGCAGCGACGCCGCGUGAUUUAGAAGGCCUUCGGGUUGUAAAAAUCUUUUGUAUAGGAAGAAAAUGACAGUACUAUACGAAUAAGGUCCGGCUAAUUACGUG
rnacentral:rRNA from 1 species